UCCUCCCUCUGGGUUAAAGUCUGGGAUCACAGUCCCACAGCUUCUCAGACUAAGACCAAAGCCAGACCCUGGACUCCAGCCUCAGCCUCAGGUCCCUGUACCUCACCAUCUCUUCCGUGGGUCCCCGAAGCUCCGGCAUUCUGCUUUCUUCACCAUCCCCAAAUUUAGCUCCUACCUCCACCACCUCCAUGCUUCCACCUGCGCUCUGCCGCUUCUCUCCUCGCACUCGGUAUCCCGUGACUCAUGAGAGUGGGCAUUUGGCCCUUUCCCUGCUGGGACACCACCAAGAUCCCCUGGC
rnacentral:lncRNA from 1 species